GAUGAACGCUGGCGGCGUGCCUAAUACAUGCAAGUCGAGCGAACGGACGAGAAGCUUGCCUUUCUGAUGUUAGCGGCGGACGGGUGAGUAACACGUGGAUAACCUACCUAUAAGACUGGGAUAACUUCGGGAAACCGGAGCUAAUACCGGAUAAUAUUUUGAACCGCAUGGUUCAAAAGUGAAAGACGGUCUUGCUGUCACUUAUAGAUGGAUCCGCGCUGCAUUAGCUAGUUGGUAAGGUAACGGCUUACCAAGGCAACGAUGCAUAGCCGACCUGAGAGGGUGAUCAGCCACACUGGAACUGAGACACGGUCCAGACUCCUACGGGAGGCAGCAGUAGGGAAUCUUCCGCAAUGGGCGAAAGCCUGACGGAGCAACGCCGCGUGAGUGAUGAAGGUCUUCGGAUCGUAAAACUCUGUUAUUAGGGAAGAACAUAUGUGUAAGUAACUGUGCACAUCUUGACGGUACCUAAUCAGAAAGCCACGGCUAACUACGUG
rnacentral:rRNA from 1 species